rnacentral:rRNA from 1 species
UACGAAGGUCCCGAGCGUUGUUCGGUAUCACUGGGCUUAAAGAGUUCGUAGGCGGCUUUGUAGGUGGGGUGUGAAAGCCCUCGGCUUAACCGAGGAACUGCGCCCCAAACCACAAGGCUUGAGGGAUAUAGGGGUAAGCGGAACAGAUGGUGGAGCGGUGAAAUGCAUUGAUAUCAUCUGGAACACCGGUGGCGAAGGCGGCUUACUGGAUAUUUUCUGACGCUGAGGAACGAAAGCUAGGGUAGCGAACGGG